rnacentral:rRNA from 1 species
GAUGUAAUAAAAGUCGUAACAAGGUCUCCGUUGGUGAACCAGCGGAGGGAUCAUU